rnacentral:rRNA from 1 species
AAUAGAUACCCGGGUAGUCCAUGCCGUAAACGUUGGGCACUAGGUGUGGGGCUCAUUCCACGAGUUCCGUGCCGCAGCAAACGCAUUAAGUGCCCCGCCUGAGGAGUACGGCCGCAAGGCUAAAACUCAAAGGAAUUGACGGGGGCCCGCACAAGCGGCGGAGCAUGCGGAUUAAUUCGAUGCAACGCGAAGAACCUUACCAAGGCUUGACAUGCACGGGAAGCCACCAGAGAUGGUGGUCUCUUUGGACACUCGUGCACAGGUGGUGCAUGGUUGUCGUCAGCUCGUGUCGUGAGAUGUUGGGUUAAGUCCCGCAACGAGCGCAACCCUCGUCCCAUGUUGCCAGUGGGUUAUGCCGGGGACUCAUGGGAGACUGCCGGGGUCAACUCGGAGGAAGGUGGGGAUGACGUCAAAUCAUCAUGCCCCUUAUGUCUUGGGCUUCACGCAUGCUACAAUGGCCGGUACAAAGGGCUGCGAUACCGUAAGGUGGAGCGAAUCCCAAAAAGCCGGUCUCAGUUCGGAUUGGGGU